GCUGGGUGUGAUGGUACCUGCCUGUAGUUCAAUCUACUCAGGAGGCGAAUGUAGGAGGAUCACUUGAGCCCAGGAGUUUGGGGCCAGCCUGAGUAACACUGUGAGACCCUGACUCUU
rnacentral:sRNA from 1 species